rnacentral:rRNA from 1 species
UACGUAGGUGGCAAGCGUUGUCCGGAUUUAUUGGGCGUAAAGAGCUCGUAGGCGGUUUGUCUCGUCUGUCGUGAAAUCCUCUGGCUUAACUGGGGGCGUGCGGUGGGUACGGGCAGACUAGAGUGCGGUAGGGGAGACUGGAAUUCCUGGUGUAGCGGUAAAAUGCGCAGAUAUCAGGAGGAACACCGGUGGCGAAGGCGGGUCUCUGGGCCGUUACUGACGCUGAGGAGCGAAAGCAUGGGGAGCGAACAGGAUUAGAUACCCUGGUAGUCCCU